ACGAGCAGAUUGGCUGCUGCCCAUCAACACAUGUCAACAUUAUGACAUGAUAAAAUCAGUGAGUCUUAAACGAAAGGAAAAGGCAGAAAGGGACAGAAAGCGAGGAGAGGGAGGACAACUCCUCACACAUUUCUGUCAGAAGAAAGAUCCAGAGUGACCAGCCGUGAGUCUGCAGCUGUGGAGAUAAAUCAGAGCUGCAGGACGACAAGGAGCCAGUGGAGGCAGGUGGAGGCAGGUGGAGGCAGGUGAUCAGUUGCUGUUUGCUUCUUGUUUUAAAGUCAGGUUGUGUUCUCGUCCCUCUGUGACCCCAGCAGAUGAGCUGUGUGGAGCCAUCUCACCGUCACUACAGACACCUGAUCCCAUCUGAUCCCAUCUGAUCCCACCUGAACCCACCUGAUCCCAUCUGAUCCCACCUGAUCCCAUCUGAACCCACCUGAUCCCAUCUGAACCCACCUGAACCCACCUGAUUCCA